UGGGCGACAGAGCAAGACUGUCUCCAAAACAAACAAACAAACAAACAAACAAAAACAAAGGGAAAUCAGCAUGGAAAUCUUUCUCCAAACUCCAAGGAGCUUCACUCCAGCCAGGCCAGCACAGAAAAUCAAACUCAGGAGUCCACCGCUCCCAACACUCCUGAGCAGGGCUGUGGGCAUCAGCCUGGGCGCACCGUGGCAGGCAUGUGUCCCAAACUGCUGCGGCGGUGCCCCAGCCAACACCCCCACGGCCCCACCUGAGCUGGUUUCUGUGGUGGAUUGAAAAGAUGCCACCAGAGGUUUGUGUACUUUCUCCUGGAAUUACAUUAUUGGAGCUUUUCUUUUUAAUCAGCGCAUAGGUCAACAUGCUGUCAAUGAUUAAUGUUUGCGGCAUGACUAAGGUGCUUGACAGUUGUGAGCUCCGCCGUCAAUGCUCUCUGAGACGGAGAAGACCACUGGGCCUAGGAGAGGCCUUGGCGCCGCGACCUGCACGCCCGCUAUGCGCCCAGAUCAUCCGCAGCUGCGGGAGGGGCCGUGGCCAGUGGAUACAGAAGUGGCUGCGGAGAUGUUCAUACACACAGGUGACACCCUCAUCCCUGCUCUGCAGCUGAACAGGUGACACCCUCGUCCCUGCUCUGCAGCUGAGGGCCUCCACGUGACAACAUCCCAGCAGCACCGGACCCACCUGGCACCCACCUGGCACCCAGGCCUCACUCUCUAAGACUUCCCAAUAAAAGGACCUGGGGCUCCCUGCCUGGCACCCAGGCCUCACUCUCUUAAGACUUGCCAAUAAAAGGACCCGGGGCUCCUUGGAGAAGGGGCUGAUUCCCGGGCCAGGGCAGGGAAUGCAAGAGGAGGCUGGAGCACCCUGCAGUGCCAGGAAGUCAGGACGUACCCCAAAAUGAAAAGUCUGUUGAAAGGGGUGCAUCAGGGGACCCAGGAGCCGACGGCAGGAGCUCCCUAGGGCCAAGGACAGAUGGUGUGCUUCACAAGAAAGUAGUGUUGCCUUCUAGCUCAGAGUUUAAAACACAUAUAAAAUGAGCCCAUCCGGAUACAAACAAAUGAUCAAAUAAAUAAAUACAAGUCCAAGCUAUUCCAGAUCCUCCCGUCUAGGAGAAGCCCCCCCACGGCCGUGGACUUGCUGCCUGACUAAAUGUGCAAAGGGAGAAGCAGUCCUGUCACCAAGGAGACACCUACAGACACCUGACUCUGGUGAGGAAGGUCAGAGCUGUCUGUAAUGUCACUUGGAUGUCAGGGACGCCACAGUGGGGUGAGACAGGCGGCAGCACCCCUCCCUGAAACCUGUCGUCCACCCCCACGAGAAAGCACAAGACAAGCCUGGAUCGGGGCACCUGGACAAACUGCCUGGCCAGGCCCUCUCAGAACUGCAGGGCAUGGAAGACAAGGAAAGACUGAGAGACCGUCACAGGCCUGAGGGUGCUGGGCAAAUGGUGCACGGGAGGCUGUCUCCCACAGGUGGCAGCGGGGACAAGGUCCUAGAGCAGAAACAGGACAUUGAUAGUGAAAUUCAAAGUCCGGAGUUCACAGGGACACCCAGCGACGGUUUCUCAGCUACAACAGCCAUGCCCUGUGGGCUUUGAAGUUACAGAGGGGAGGCUGCGGAGUGGCAGAAGGGACCCUCUGCGCUCACUUUGCAACUUUUCUGUAAACCUAAAAUUAUCCCGAAAUACGUUUAUUUUUUAAAAUAACCAUUCAUUAGCCGGGCACGGUGGCUCACGCCUGUAAUCCCAGCACUUUGGGAGGCUGAGGCAGGCGGAUCACGAGGUCAGGAGAUCGAGACCAUCCUGGCUAACACGGUGAAACCCUGUCUCUACUAAAAAUACAAAAAAAUUAGCCAGGCGUGUUGGCGGGUGCCUGUACUCCCGGCUACUCGCGAGGCUAAGGCAGGAGAAUGGCAUGAACCCAGGAGGUGGAGCUUGCAGUGAGCCGAGAACGCGCCACUGCACUCCAGCCUGGGUGACAGAGCUAGACUCUGUCUCAAAAACAAAAACAAAAAACCAUUCAUUACUGCGGAAGAGGUGUGUGUGCGUUGCAGAAGGUUAGGACAAGACACCGCGUUUCCGCAGCCAAGGACAUCGACAAGUCCCAUUCUGCGCUUUCAGGAAACUGUCAGGAAAUCACAGGACUGCGGAUGGCACAAAGGGCAGAAGUGCCCAGGCCUGCCCAGGCGCCCCAAGAAGCUCAUGCUGCCAAGCAGCUGGCAUUGCCAUUAGCAUUCAGAGUUCUCUGGGCCGCAGGCGGGCAGAGGAGGAGACUGCAGCAGAGCACCCUGCGGGGAGUCCCGCCCAAGCAGCGGGUCCAGCCCCUCAGCAGAGACUGCGAAGGGGUUUCCUGGCCUGCCUUCCCUGCUGCAGGGGCCCCCCAUCUGCACAUCACACAACAGGAACACACCUACUUUUGGCAAUGCAAUAGCUGGUGUACUCUGGUCCAGGUGGAAAAAAGCCUUGUGAAUCACAUAUGCUGGUUUCAUUAUAAUUGAUUUUUAAAUUAGACAAAUUACAGAUAACAAAGCCACUCCUUCAGAAACAGCCAACCAAGAGUAAGACCAUAAGAUCACAUAUAAAAUGCCUAUUAAUUUCUAACUAUCAAAGAAUAAGUUAAUAAUGUAUUCAUUAUUCUUUCUGCAAAUAAAACUAAGUCUAACUUGAAAACCUA